AUUGAACGCUGGCGGCAUGCUUUACACAUGCAAGUCGAACGGUAACAGGGAGCUUGCUCCGCUGACGAGUGGCGAACGGGUGAGUAAUGCGUCGGAACGUGCCGAGUAGUGGGGGAUAACGCAGCGAAAGUUGUGCUAAUACCGCAUACGUACUGAGGUAGAAAGUGGGGGACCUUCGGGCCUCACGCUAUUCGAGCGGCCGACGUCUGAUUAGCUAGUAGGUGAGGUAAAGGCUCACCUAGGCGACGAUCAGUAGCGGGUCUGAGAGGAUGAUCCGCCACACUGGGACUGAGACACGGCCCAGACUCCUACGGGAGGCAGCAGUGGGGAAUUUUGGACAAUGGGCGAAAGCCUGAUCCAGCCAUGCCGCGUGUCUGAAGAAGGCCUUCGGGUUGUAAGGGACUUUUGUCAGGGAGGAAAUCCCUAGCGUUAAUACCGCUGGGGGAUGACAGUACCUGAAGAAUAAGCACCGGCUAACUACGUGCCAGCCGCCGCGGUAA
rnacentral:rRNA from 1 species